rnacentral:rRNA from 1 species
UACGAGAGGUCCAAGCGUUAGUCGGAAUUACUGGGCUUAAAGGGUGCGUAGGCGGGUCUGUAAGUGCCUUGUGAAAUCCCCGGGCUCAACCUGGGAAUUGCAGGGCAUACUGCGGACCUUGAGGAAGCUAGAGGCCGGCAGAACGAUAGGUGGAGCGGUGGAAUGCGUAGAUAUCUAUCGGAAUGCCAAAGGUGAAGACAGCCGGCUGGGGCUUUCCUGACGCUGAGGCACGAAAGCGUGGGGAUCAAACAGG